rnacentral:rRNA from 1 species
GACGAACGCUGGCGGCGUGCCUAAUACAUGCAAGUCGAGCGGAGCGGCGGACGGGGGAGUGAUGCCUAGGAAUUUGCCUGGUGGUGGGGUACACCGUCCGGCAACGGACGCUAUUACCGCAUGCUAUCAGAUGAGCCUAGGUCGGAUUGGCUAGUUGGAUGGGUAAAGGCCUACCAAGGCGACGAUCCGUAACUGGGCUGAGAGGAUGAUCAGUCAAACGGGAACGGAGACACGGCCCCGACGCCUACGGGAGGCAGCAGUGGGGAAUAUUGGGCAAUGGGCGAAAGGCUGACCCAGCCAUGCCGCGUGUGUGAAGAAGGUCUUCGGAUUGUAAAGCACUUUAAUUUGGGAGGCGUUACCAACAGAAGAAGCACCGGCUAACUUCGUGCCAGCCGCCGCGGUAAUAC